GAUGAAGAACGCAGCGAAAUGCGAUACGUAAUGUGAAUUGCAGAAUUCAGUGAAUCAUCGAGUCUUUGAACGCACAUUGCGCCCCCUGGUAUUCCGGGGGGCAUGCCUGUCCGAGCGUCAUUACAACCCUCAAGCUCAGCUUGGUGUUGGGCCCCGCCGCCCCGGCGGGCCCUAAAGUCAGUGGCGGUGCCGUCCGGCUCCGAGCGUAGUAAUUCUUCUCGCUCUGGAGGUCCGGUCGUGUGCUCGCCAGCAACCCCCAAUUUUUUUCAGGUUGACCUCGGAUCAGGUAGGGACACCCGCUGAACUUAAGCAUAUCAAUAAGCGGAGGA
rnacentral:misc_RNA from 1 species